UGCCCCGGCCCGUGGCUCCCCCCACAGCGAAGGGGGCAAGAGGUCUCCAGAGCCAAACAAGACGUCGGUCUUGGGUGGUGGUGAGGACGGUAUUGAACCUGUGUCCCCACCGGAGGGCAUGACGGAGCCAGGGCACUCCCGGAGUGCUGUGUACCCGCUGCUGUACCGGGAUGGGGAACAGACGGAGCCCAGGAUGGGCUCCAAGUCUCCAGGCAACACCAGCCAGCCGCCAGCCUUCUUCAGCAAGCUGACCGAGAGCAACUCCGCCAUGGUCAAGUCCAAGAAGCAAGAGAUCAACAAGAAGCUGAACACCCACAACCGGAAUGAGCCUGAAUACACCUGGGACGGAGAUCUUCAAUAUGCCCGCCAUCACCGGAACAGGCCUUAUGACCUAUAGAAGCCAGGCGGUGCAGGAACAUGCCAGCACCAACAUGGGGCUGGAGGCCAUAAUUAGAAAGGCACUCAUGGGUGGCGGCGGGAAGGCCAAGGUCUCUGGCAGACCCAGCAGCCGAAAAGCCAAGUCCCCGGCCCCGGGCCUGGCAUCUGGGGACCGGCCACCCUCUGUCUCCUCAGUGCACUCGGAGGGAGACUGCAACCGCCGGACGCCGCUCACCAACCGCGUGUGGGAGGACAGGCCCUCGUCCGCAGGUUCCACGCCAUUCCCCUACAACCCCCUGAUCAUGCGGCUGCAGGCGGGUGUCAUGGCUUCCCCACCCCCACCGGGCCUCCCCGCGGGCAGCGGGCCCCUCGCUGGCCCCCACCACGCCUGGGACGAGGAGCCCAAGCCACUGCUCUGCUCGCAGUACGAGACACUCUCCGACAGCGAGUGACUCAGAACAGGGCGGGGGGGGGGGCGGUGUCAGGUCCCAGCGAGCCACAGGAACGGCCCUGCAGGAGCAGGGCGGCUGCCGACUCCCCCAACCAAGGAAGGAGCCCCUGAGUCCGCCUGCGCCUCCAUCCAUCUGUCCGUCCAGAGCCGGCAUCCUUGCCUGUCUAAAGCCUUAACUAAGACUCCCGCCCCGGGCUGGCCCUGUGCAGACCUUACUCAGGGGAUGUUUACCUGGUGCUCGGGAAGGGAGGGGAAGGGGCCGGGGAGGGGGCACGGCAGGCGUGUGGCAGCCACACGCAGGCGGCCAGGGCGGCCAGGGACCCAAAGCAGGAUGACCACGCACCUCCACGCCACUGCCUCCCCCGAAUGCAUUUGGAACCAAAGUCUAAACUGAGCUCGCAGCCCCCGCGCCCUCCCUCCGCCUCCCAUCCCGCUUAGCGCUCUGGACAGAUGGACGCAGGCCCUGUCCAGCCCCCAGUGCGCUCGUUCCGGUCCCCACAGACUGCCCCAGCCAACGAGAUUGCUGGAAACCAAGUCAGGCCAGGUGGGCGGACAAAAGGGCCAGGUGCGGCCUGGGGGGAACGGAUGCUCCGAGGACUGGACUGUUUUUUUCACACAUCGUUGCCGCAGCGGUGGGAAGGAAAGGCAGAUGUAAAUGAUGUGUUGGUUUACAGGGUAUAUUUUUGAUACCUUCAAUGAAUUAAUUCAGAUGUUUUACGCAAGGAAGGACUUACCCAGUAUUACUGCUGCUGUGCUUUUGAUCUCUGCUUACCGUUCAAGAGGCGUGUGCAGGCCGACAGUCGGUGACCCCAUCACUCGCAGGACCAAGGGGGCGGGGACUGCUGGCUCACGCCCCGCUGUGUCCUCCCUCCCUCCCUUCCUUGGGCAGAAUGAAUUCGAUGCGUAUUCUGUGGCCGCCAUCUGCGCAGGGUGGUGGUAUUCUGUCAUUUACACACGUCGUUCUAAUUAAAAAGCGAAUUAUACUC
rnacentral:lncRNA from 1 species